GAUGAACGCUGGCGGCGUGCCUAAUACAUGCAAGUCGAGCGAACAGACGAGGAGCUUGCUCCUCUGACGUUAGCGGCGGACGGGUGAGUAACACGUGGAUAACCUACCUAUAAGACUGGGAUAACUUCGGGAAACCGGAGCUAAUACCGGAUAAUAUAUUGAACCGCAUGGUGCAAUAGUGAAAGACGGUGUUGCCGUCAGUUAUAGAUGGAUCCGCGCCUCAUUAGCUAGUUGGGAAGGUAACGGCUUACCAAGGGAACGAUGCGUAGCCGACCUGAGAGGGGGACCGGGCUCAAGACUACUGCGAGAGGCAGCAGUAGGGUAUGGUACGCAGCGGUCGAAAGCAUGACGGAGCGACGGCACGUCAGUGGUGAAGGUCUUCCGUUCGUGAAGAUGUGUUACUAGGGAUGAACCAAUGUGUAAGGUAAUAUGGACGUCUUGACGGUAACUAAUCAGAAAGCCACGGCUAACUACGUG
rnacentral:rRNA from 1 species